UAUAGUGAUGAAUCCAAUGAUGUAUUUCGGCAGCUGUAACUAUAAAUUUCAGAAUCACAGUGUGUAUCCGAGGUAGGAAAGCUCAUAUUAUUGGCUCUUUGGCAUCAAUUUGAUCCAUUUACAAAGCUAUUGCUGAUAACUUGCAUUUUGCUCUCGUUGGACUCCAUUUUUUGACCAAACGUUUGCUCUGGGUGGUUUUCUGGUUGGGUUGAGAGAGACGGAAGAAGAAGACUUCCCAGAUUGGUUAAUAUGUUUGCUGUGCAUGUUUGAUUAUAGUUAGUUAAUAUGUUUCUGCAAUAUUGUUUAGCAUAUAUUAUCUCUUUUCUUUGCUUUUGGACUGAUGUAACCAUGGUAGGCUUAUGUAACAUUUUAAUUGAUGACAUUCUCCAGAUGGACCAGAUCUGAUAUGAUCACUUUAUAAUCAUAGCAUCACUAUAGUUAAAGCUACUGCAUAGCAAGCAAUAAUACUUGCUCCACCAUAAUUUGCAGAAUGGUAAAAAUAUUGGUCCCUAGUUCAUCAUUCUUCGAGAUAUUGCAAAUAUUGGCUAAUAAAGUCUGGUCUUUAAUUUGGCUUUCAACUCAGAAACCAACCAGGAGCUGAUAAUGAAUCAAGGGGGACUAAGUUUGUUAUCUAUGAGAGGAGAUCAGGAUGGUACUAAAAAUGGCCAGAACGGUAACUAACCUAGGCGAUCUCCAUUUUCCACAUCCUCAUUGGCUUUCCCUUCAACUCUUCAAGUAGCCUUGUCUCUGGGAAUCAAUAUGGACCAGGGCACUGGCGGAUGCAGGAAAUUCUGAGUACAAUAGAGCAUGGUGGAAGAUUGACAUAAUUGCAGGAAUCUUCGACUCCACAAGAAUG
rnacentral:lncRNA from 1 species